rnacentral:lncRNA from 1 species
UAUAUGUCAGUGGGAACACUCAUCAUCUUAAUAAAAUUAUAGUAUAUAGUAGACAGUAUAUACUUAUUGAGUAGCAGUAGUAGCAGUAAAGCAGACUGGGGCCUUUUCGUCCAACAUCAGUGUCUGACCUCACUAAUGCACAUUUGAAAGCUAUUAGCACAAUAUAAACCUCGAACAGUAGGAUUUACCUUUGCUCCUCAAACCAGGCCAAUAAAUCAUUAACAAGGCCAUGCAAAACAUAUUUUAGGGGGAAACAUGUUUGAUUAAUUUUAUUGUUUUGCAUGAUUACAGCUUAUUUUAUUUAUUUAUUUAUUUAUUUAUGGCUUAAUUAUUAUUCCAAUCUAAUUAUAUCUGGUGUUAUGGGUGGUACAGUUAGCUAAACGAAAUGUCACUGUAACUGCGUCCUAUCAAACAAAGCUUCUUCUUCUUCUUUAUCAAACACUACAGGUUAACCCGGUUAACGUUAACCAGGUUAACUCACUAACUAAUAAAACUCGCCACCUCAGGCACUCACCGUCACCGGAUAAACAGUUAAAAAACAGUUUUGUCCGCUUCUGUCAGCCUCAGCCCUCGGCUAACAGUUAGCACAACUACAGCUAGCCGGUGUUGUGAUUAAAGUGGUCACCGUUUUAACUGGAGGUCUACAGCUGCAGCAGCUAGCAACACUUACCGAAUUCGCUCACCAAUUAAGACUGUCGCCACUUAAUGCGUAACACCAGGACGCACCGGGAGAAGUUGAAGUCUACAGCGGCUCUCGGUUUGUCACUGAGCGGUAAACGGAGCAGAUGUUCUCACCUUGUGACGUCUCCACCUGCACCACUUCUUCUGCUACAUCUUCUGUUCCCUCAGCGAUGGUUUCUUCUCCCAAAGCAGCAGGGGAUGCCCCCACCACCCCCACCACCACCUCCUCGUCUCCAGCUGUAGGAUGUUUGCUGCAGUGACAGGAGUCUUCCCUUGAUGGUGAUGAAGACUGCAGUUCCUCAUCUGGACCAUGACUCAUGUCUGCCAGCAGCAGAGUGAGGGCCGGACCUUCAGUGGUGUCCUCUGUCAGAGCUUGAGCUGAUGUUUGCUCCACAGCUUCUUCUGUGAUGGGGACCUCCUCAGGUGCAGCGUCAGCUACCAAAGCCUGAUGCUCUUCAGUCUGGGUCUCCUCCAGAGCUGCAGGAGCAUCUAAUGGAGCUUGGACUUCUUCUGUGGCAUCUUCUUCAGCCUCAGGAAUCUCCAACUCCUUUCCUUCAUCUUCAUUCUUCAGACUCAUCUUGCCCACAGAAGCUGCUGUGAGAAGAUCAGGGAUGGACAGGUGACGAUAAGUGACUCCCUAUCCGCUCUUAGUGAGUCUUAAACUACUUUUAUUGUGAGUCCUCAUCUGUUUUGGAAUGAAUACACCAAUUUUUUGAGUGAGUCUGCUUCUCACUUUAGUGAGUCUUCAACUCUU